AGGUAGAGGGGUUUUAGUCGGUAGGUCCGAGGAGCGAGGACAUCUUCCUCGGGAAUCCGACACUACCCAGUCGUACGGACGGCUGGGUGCCUUUUGAAGAUUUCCCCUCUUCC
rfam:Agrilus planipennis Contig22034, whole genome shotgun sequence.